rnacentral:misc_RNA from 1 species
ACGAAUUGUAAACGGGAGUUGAUGCUGGCAGUUCUUUCUUUGGCUGCAUGUGCUCGCUUCUAACAAUCAUUAUCCCAAACACUUGUGCACCUUUGAAAGAAGGGAGGACCAUUCCCAAAGAAGUUCCCCUUCUUUUACUUAUACACGCAGCUUUUUACCAUCGAAUGUGUUCUUGUGCCUUUAAGGCAUUAAUGUUAAUA